UGGGGAAUAUUGCACAAUGGGCGCAAGCCUGAUGCAGCCAUGCCGCGUGUAUGAAGAAGGCCUUCGGGUUGUAAAGUACUUUCAGCGGGGAGGAAGGCGAUAAGGUUAAUAACCUUGUCGAUUGACGUUACCCGCAGAAGAAGCACCGGCUAACUCCGUGCCAGCAGCCGCGGUAAUACGGAGGGUGCAAGCGUUAAUCGGAAUUACUGGGCGUAAAGCGCACGCAGGCGGUCUGUCAAGUCGGAUGUGAAAUCCCCGGGCUCAACCUGGGAACUGCAUUCGAAACUGGCAGGCUAGAGUCCUGUAGAGGGGGGUAGAAUUCCAGGUGUAGCGGUGAAAUGCGUAGAGAUCUGGAGGAAUACCGGUGGCGAAGGCGGCCCCCUGGACAAAGACUGACACUGAGGUGCGAAAGCGUGGGGAGCAAACA
rnacentral:rRNA from 1 species